CAACCAAAAGCCAAAAUUUUCAGCCCCAGCCAUGUUGAUUUAUCCCUCAGAACUACUCAGUGAGAAUUAAAGUAGCAUUCAACAAUAAGCUUGGGUUUGGGGGUCAAAUAGACCAUAAUCAGAGUCUCCUUUUCUCCGUUCAGAAGCAACCAGCCUCAGGAGUGGGUCUGAAGCUCCCCGCCCAUUUUCUCAUCAGCAAGAUGAAGCAGUGUCGUCUACUCCACAGCGUUGUUAUGAGGACUGGAGAUAAAUAACUUCCCUAUUAGAAUGCUUUGCACAUAGCUAUUACUAGAAAAAUUAUUGUAACUACUAUUUAACUUAUUGCCCCUAAUUGGGGGCUGUUCAGGAUUAACAUAGUACCAGAAUUUAAUCACUCUGGAGAGGAUGCCAGGUAUAAAGAUCAAAUCAUUCUGCCUUUCUGCCAUCUCAUCUGUGUCUGGCAAUAACUUGGCCUAACCACUCUAUUCUGCCCUAUUUUCCAGCUCAUUUUGAGGGUUUUUGUUUUGUUUUGUUUUGUUGACAAUGAACACAAUAUUUGGUGGUUUCUCUGGUGUUAUUGCCCUUCUAGGCCAUACUGGUUUCCUUCAAUUAUUCUCUGGGGCAAGGAUGACUAGAUAAUCCUUGAUAUUCUCUCAUUCCUCUCCCAUUUCUGCUUCCAUGUAAUUACCAAAUCCAUCUCUCACAAGCACGUUACUGAAGCUUAAUAAAAACAGAGAACUUUGCCAUCAUCAAUGGUAUUUGCUCAGCUAAGCAAACAAGCCUGUUUGAUAAGCCCAGAACCUUCUGUCCCUUUUCCCUCCUUGCCAGAGUCCCAGUGUCCUAGAGUUUGGACUAGCCCAAAAUUCAUUGCUCAGAUCCCCUGGUCUUCCAUAGAACUUCAUCACAGUAACUAACUUCAGCAGAACAAUUCUGACAAUGUACUUUUGCACACUCAAAAUGGAUCUCAACCGGUGCUAGAAGAGAGGUAUGGUUAUACACGAGUAAACAGAG
rnacentral:lncRNA from 1 species